GGGGAUUUAGCUCAAUGGUAGAGCGCUUGCCUAGCAAACGCAAGGCCCUGGGUUCGAUCCCCAGCUCUG
rnacentral:tRNA from 1 species